ensembl:snoRNA SNORA73 Small nucleolar RNA SNORA73 family
CCAACAUGGAUAUCCCAGGAGGUCCUGGGCACUGUCCAGGUGUCACAGAGGACUACAGGGCUCUACCCUGUGUUUUACAGUCCCUUUCCACAUCAUUGGACAUCAAGCCAGGCCUUGAGUCUGCACCUGCAUAUUCCUACAUUUUCUCAGAAUCUUCUGGAAGAUGACUGGGGAGACAAAACACUCAGUAAGAAGGG